GGAGAAGUACCCAAGUUCGGCUGAAGGGACUGGUCUCGAAAACCAGCAGGAGUCGAAAGGCUCGCAAGGGUUCAAAUCCCUUCUUCUCCG
rnacentral:tRNA from 1 species